CUUAUUUGAUUCAUUGUUUUUAUACAUAAAAAUCUUUCUCGGUGUGUAUUUGGGACUUUGGGGUGAUUGGGGAGUCCAAUGACCCAUUUAUUGUGUCUGACUUUCUAAUAAAUUGUAUAAUUUUAUUAAUAUCCUCCAGAAGAAGCUGGUGAUGCAGGCUGAGCCUGGAGUUAGGGGAGAUCCCAGUUCAAAUCCAAUCUCAGAUACUUCCUAAUUCUAUGAUCCUGGGCAAAUCCCUAUUGGCUCAAUUUCUUCAGCUGUGAAAUGGGGAUAAUAGAACCUUACACGCAUAUACAGAGAUGCGCUCUUGUUUCCUCUCAGGCUUUGAAAUGUAAGUUCUUUGCACACAUACUAAUACUUUUACAUGUCACACAAAUGUAUAUUAACUAAAUUUUUUCCUGGUGGUACAGGCUGUGAAAAUGCACUAUUUUCAACCGUUAGCUAGACAAGAAUGAAAAUUUAAUCACCGCAAAUCAAUCGACGUGGCAGCUCUUUGAGCUUGGCACUGGGUUCAGUACAACCUGAAGUCAGCCUCGCCCUGCCCCCACCCUCAAUCCUCGCAGGCCCUGUCACCGAGCCUUGCCUACUUACGCCUGAAAAACUACAAUUCCCAAGCAGGAACGAGCGACCUGCUCGUGAGUCCCCCGCCCCAGAACUACCUCACGCAGCAGAGGGCCAAGAGGCGGGAUUGUCGAUCUACGCUAGCGUCUCGCAAGUCCCUUCUCGUUCUGCGCAUGCGUUUUUCGAGUCACUUCCUCCUCCCUCCCUCUGUUAUCCGGUUUGACCUACUGUGGCCAGAGGAAAAAAAGAUGGCGGUGGCCGCUACCUCUGGGGCAGUCCAGCAGGUAAGAUACGCCGAUUCACCACUUCAGUGGCCAGACCAUUUGCCAAACUUGUCAGGGGAUCAGCACUGUAAACUAUUUUGCACUGGGGCCAGGGCUUCAUCUCAACAGUGCAGACUUAAAAGGGCCCAGUGCUGUGGACUUUUGACCUCAAUAAGGGCUGGUACCAGGGCCGGAGGCUUGAAAGGAUGGGUCUGA
rnacentral:lncRNA from 1 species